rnacentral:lncRNA from 1 species
CCGCCGCCGCCCGCAGGAGCCGCCGCCGCCUAUUGUUCAUGCGCCUCCGCAGAGCUGGGAGGACCCCCCCCCAACGACGGCGGCCGCAGAUCCCUUUUACAGUUGGAUUCUCCCUCUUGGAUCUGGCUCUGCCUUAGUCCGACCUAGAGGGAUCAGCUUCGCCCACGCCCACUCUCACCCGGAACCUUUCAUCUCUUAUUGAAGCCUUUUAGGCCCAUUGGGAUGUUCAUUAGAACUCUGAAAACUACAGUUCUCCCCUUUAUGAGGACUGCACCACAGCUCGCCCUCUCCUGGGUUCCGGUAAGAAGAGAUUCCAAUACCACUCUUUUUUCAGAAUUCAGAAAGGCAAGAGACCACCUUACUGAGCUUCAAACUGGGGCUGGGAACGCUGCCAUGAAUUGGGCUUGGUCUGUCUGAAGGGAGCCACCUUUUCGACAAUCCUUAGACUUCUUUUGCCUGUUGGAAUUACACCUUGGAUCGUGGCGAAGUCUAUAGAGGUCAGAUUAAGAAGAACCAAAGCAGAAUAAACGUAGAACCCGAUGCUGAGUUCACGAGUGAGGACGACCUCUUCCUAUAUGCUUUGCUAUACCCUGCGUUUUGAACAUUAAGGACGAGAUAGGAGGCCCAUAAUGUUUCUUCUUGCUUUAAUCCUGUCGUGGCAACGUUGACUUCCAGUAAGAAAGCCUGGUUGCAGAGUGAGCCCAUGGGACAGCCCUCUGAAAUUAUACUGCUUACAACCAUGCUGAGUCUGCAAGGACUUCGUCCAAGCCUUUCCGUCCAGGACCUCAAACAGAUCCAAUCACAAGAAGAGAGAUUUCAGGAAAGAGAAAAUUAUUCCUAUCAUCGGGGUUUUUGAAGAACAUGAAAUGACUGGGAAAAUAAUCAUGUUAAGUGGAAAAAAAAAAGAAAUCUAUCUGUUGUAAUUUUCAAAUAAUUUUUAAAUAAAUUUGAAAAAUUAAGAGAACUAUAUAUAUAAUACAUUCCUAAUCUUGUGAAAAAUAUAUAUGCAUUAAUAUUAUUGAAAGAAAUAUAUCAAAAGGUGAACAGCAAUUAUCACCAAUCUAGAUUAUGAGAUUAGGAGUGAUUUUUUUUCUUUGUCCUAUACUAUUUAAUAUUUUCUACCAUUAAAAUAUUCUGAUUUUCUAAUUAGAAUAGUACGUUAGACAAAGAAGGACAAAUAUCACAUGAACUCUCACUCUCUUAUGGAACAGAUCUUGUGGAAUCUAAAAAAGUUGAACUCAUAGAAAAAGAGGAAAAUGAUGGUUACCAGUUAGAAAAAAGGAAUAAGUUCAAGAGAUCUAUUGUACACCAUGGUCAAUAUAGUUAACAAUAUAUUUUAUACUUUAAAAUUGCUAAGGUAGUAGAUUUUAAGUGUUCUCACCACACAAAAAAAUAAGUAUGUGAAAAGCAUAUGGUAAUUAGCUUGAUUUAACCACGCCACAGUGCAUACAUAUGUCAAAACAUCAUGUUGUAUACUAUAAAUAUAUACACUUUUUGUCAAUUUUAAACAGGUUAUAAAAAAACAUGUUAUUGUUGAUAAUUAUGAAAAAUUUUAAUGAUGUGGAAAUGUGUACAGUAUAAUGAUAAAUGAAAGAGUAGUAAAAAUCCUUAUAAAAUAUAA